rnacentral:rRNA from 1 species
CAGCAGCCACGGUAAUACGGAGGGGGCUAGCGUUGUUCGGAAUCACUGGGCGUAAAGCGCACGUAGGCGGCUUUGCAAGUCAGAGGUGAAAGCCCGGGGCUCAACCCCGGAAUAGCCUUUGAGACUGCAUCGCUCGAACGUCGGAGAGGUGAGUGGAAUUCCGAGUGUAGAGGUGAAAUUCGUAGAUAUUCGGAAGAACACCAGUGGCGAAGGCGGCUCACUGGACGACUGUUGACGCUGAGGUGCGAAAGCGUGGGGAGCAAACAGGAUUAGAUACCCCCGUAGUCCCUGUCUCUUAUAC